GAUGAACGCUGGCGGCGUGCCUAAUACAUGCAAGUCGAGCGAACGGACGAGAAGCUUGCUUCUCUGAUGUUAGCGGCGGACGGGUGAGUAACACGUGGAUAACCUACCUAUAAGACUGGGAUAACUUCGGGAAACCGGAGCUAAUACCGGAUAAUAUUUUGAACCGCAUGGUUCAAAAGUGAAAGACGGUCUUGCUGUCACUUAUAGAUGGAUCCGCGCUGCAUUAGCUAGUUGGUAAGGUAACGGCUUACCAAGGCAACGAUGCAUAGCCGACCUGAGAGGGUGAUCGGCCACACUGGAACUGAGACACGGUCCAGACUCCUACGGGAGGCAGCAGUAGGGAAUCUUCCGCAAUGGGCGAAAGCCUGACGGAGCAACGCCGCGUGAGUGAUGAAGGUCUUCGGAUCGUAAAACUCUGUUAUUAGGGAAGAACAUAUGUGUAAGUAACUGUGCACAUCUUGACGGUACCUAAUCAGAAAGCCACGGCUAACUACGUGCCAGCAGCCGCGGUAAUACGUAGGUGGCAAGCGUUAUCCGGAAUUAUUGGGCGUAAAGCGCGCGUAGGCGGUUUUUUAAGUCUGAUGUGAAAGCCCACGGCUCAACCGUGGAGGGUCAUUGGAAACUGGAAAACUUGAGUGCAGAAGAGGAAAGUGGAAUUCCAUGUGUAGCGGUGAAAUGCGCAGAGAUAUGGAGGAACACCAGUGGCGAAGGCGACUUUCUGGUCUGUAACUGGCGCUGAUGUGCGAAAGCGUGGGGAUCAAACAGG
rnacentral:rRNA from 1 species